rnacentral:ncRNA from 15 species
GACUCGACUCUGUAGCCUGGAGGAACGUGAACGGGUUGGGUCGCGGUGUACCCCGGUUCAAGACUUGUACUCGAGCCGGCCGGAGCCGCGGCUAACGUGGUAUUGGCACUCCCGUCUCGACCCAGCCUACAAAAAUCCAGGAUACGGAAUCGAGUCGUU